CACAGCUAUCAUCGAUGUGACUUUAAGAUUCCUCUAGUGAUUAAGAAAGGAGCUGAUUCCCAGACGGAGGACUGCAUCUUAACCACCUACAACAAGUGGGACCAGAUCCAGGAACUGCUCGGGCACCCAAUGGAAAAACCCGUAGUGCUCCACAGGUCCUCAUCCGCUAAUAACACAAACCCCUUCGGCUCUACAUUCUGCUUCGGACUGCAGAGGAUGAUCUUUGAGGUGAUGCAGAAUAACCACAUAGCAUCAGUGACCCUCUACGGAGCUCCACGGACUAAAGCUCGACCUGAGACCAGUAGUAGUUCCCACUGAACAAGAAACCAGAACCACAUCCCAUUCUGGCCUGUCCUGAAAUCUCUUACCUCUGCUGACUGAACCUCUAACCCAGAGCCAGAUUCUUAACCAAGCAGACCCAACCCAGAGCAACAAAGCAUUUCAUACCCAGCUCAGAUGCUACUCAUGAACAGAAAAUCAACCAGAACCUAGAACGUCUAAAAUCCUGGAGGGUCCUACUUUCUCUUCCAAUAAGACACGUCCAGUCGGCACAGUCUACUCAACCCAGACUAUCUAGGAUCUAGCUGCAUGGUCGCAGUGCUGGACCACUGAUGCAUUGAAAUGAAACUGAUAAAAAUAGGUUUUGGUUUGAAUAUCCCUGUGGUGCUACAAAUUGGUGAAGAAAUCUGUAGAUCUCAAGUAGAGCUCUCCUGUUUCCAUCCAGCGAAUGAGUUUGCCCAGGACCGCAGAAGAAGAGUUUAUCCCGACUGAAGAUUGGAUGGCAUGCAAAGGGCAGUCUGUGUAUGACAUAACCUCCAUAACAUUGUGGCGAGAUGACCUGCAUUCAAUUAUCAUCUGCAAAAAAUCUCUAUGGAAACUGCUCUGGCCAAAGUCUUGAAAUAAACGUGAGCUUGACCCACUGAACUGAAACAUCAACACUGCCAGCUUCAACGAGUACCACCUGUCUUCCUACCGAGACUUCACAACCAGGCUUGGCCGGCUCCAUCACCACCCUCAACGCAUCUAAAACCAUUUGCAUCAGAAGCUGCAGAUCACUGUAACCAAAAAAACAGAAAAAAAACAACCAUAAAAUGAGAGGAAGAGGAGAACCAAACACACUCAGGGGUGUGGAGAGACAUGUGGCCCAGAACACGCCCACAACAGAUGUGAAGCCUCUAGAAGCAGAACCAUCCAAACAUCAGCGUCAUCGUUUCCCUCGUCCAAUGUCCUACGUACUGUUCCUCCAGCUGUCUUCAGUGGUGCACACACACACACACACACACACACACACGCACACGCACAUGCACACAUAUAGUCUUGUCUGUCUCCUUGCUCCAACACUCACAUGAAUGGGAAUCUGCUUGUGUAACGCUGUUGUUUAUUUCAAAUUGACAUUUCAACACACAGCAUUUCAGUCCCUUCACCACUAUACGUGUGUAUUUCUAACACAUAAGAGCUGGUUUAUCUUUUUUAGCCUUUUGAGCACAAACACGGAGACAUGCAGGCAUGGCACGAGAUUUUGCAUGAACUUGCUUUUGAAUGAGAGGACGUAUUAUAAGCACAACUGGCAACCUGUUUGUUGAGUUUUUAUGAUCCUGCACGUUGUUAGGGGUAAAGACAAAUAUAUUUCCAUUUCCCCCGCUUCAAUUAUUCACACCACAACCAUUUUCUUUGUAGUUUUUAAAUUUGUAUUUGCACCAACACACGCCGUUUUACUUACUUGAUUGGUUGAUUUGGCCAUUUCCUCAGACUGUUGGUGGAAACAUUAGGAGAGGUGUGUGUGUGUGUGUGUGUGUGUGUGUGUGUGUGUGUGUGUGUGUGUGUGUGUGUGUGUGUGUGUGUGUGUGUGUGUGUGUACAAGAUCCUCUCAUGCAGUUAUUUACUUUUUGUUACUCUCCUCUUUCUUCAUUUCUACAUCCACACACUGCAAUUCAUCCCUCAGCAAUUGUUUCCCUGUUGAAUUGCCAAAUGCUACAGCCAAAGAAGUUUCAGGAAGAUUUCAAUUGCUGACAUUUUCACUUUAGUCUCGUCCUAAGGAGAGAGUCUCCUUUCUCUUGUGUCAAAACUGCAUCCGCCUCUAAAUUCAGUUCCUGGUGUCUGUUACGGCUGACAAUAAUUACAAGGGAUGUAAAUAACUGACUCAUGUAUCUGUGUGUUUUGAGACCAGAUCAGCCUGUCUCUCAUCUGGAUUCAUUUACAGCCAGACACAUUUACAAUAUGAACAACUAUAACUUGUGUAUUGUUGUAAUUGUUUUCAGAGAGCUGUGAUUUAAAGAUCACCGUUAUUUCUCUGUGAAUUUAAUACAUGGGAACCCAUUCAGGAAAUUGGAAAGAACAUCAGUCAUUCUGUCAUCAUAACAUUUGUUUCCCUCCCAAUGUCUGAAUUUAAAAAAUGUUUUAAUCGUAAGCAUUUGAAAUAAACUGUGUAUUAGUUUGAAUACACACGUUCUCUUUUCUUGUCCAUUCAUACAAAGAACCAUUUAGUUUGUUUCACUAUUGCUGAAUGUAUUAUUGCUUAUGUGACGGCAUUAGGGCCCCUGUACAUGAAUACAUGUUGCAGAUGGGAGAAUAAAAUGCACAGUUGGCUGCUUCGAGGUGUUACACAGUAUUUUUUCAGUGCGGGUCAAAUUUAUUUUGUCAUUAUGUCCUGGCGUAUAUGGAGAAGCUUGAAGAUUUAACAUUCAAACUGGCUCCACUGUGGUGUUUUAUUAUAUAUUCAUUACUCUUCUACAUGUCUGAAUUUCUGUAUUGUUAUGAUAGGAACUAAAGGUUUUAGAAUUUGUACCCUUUAUUUACAGUAAGCUACCUUGUUUUUGGCUCAGAUUUCCAUAGGGUUUCUUUCCGUACGAAUGACCAUGUGAAAUGGAAGUAGAAGAAAUGAAUUUAUGUGCAGUGCAAUUCAAGUUAUUCAGUUUUAUUUUGUGUAUCCUGGCCCUGAUUCUUGGAGUUGAUGUACAAAUGCUGUAAAUGGUUGUGUGCUGUUAAUCCGGCGUCCUGUUAUUUACAUGACCUACAUGGCUUAUACACACAACUGACUCAGGCACUGACUGAGUGUCUUAUUAUUCCCUCUGUCAUUCUGAUUAUACUUUAACUUAGGAGGAUGCAUCUGCUCACAGCUGACUCUUUGACACUGAGAUUUUAAAUUUUUUAUUCCAGUCCACUCUGUAUUAAACAUUGUCCUUGUAAGAUGCUAAGGUGGCACGUACACAGAUUUCAUGUUUAUGUUGGAUCCACCUGGAUGGCAUUAAACUAAAUGGUUGCAGGGAAAACAUUACCCUUUUUCAAAUUUGGACUAGAUGAUAUCUUUGUUUGAGAUGUGUUUUUAUAGUGGACAGAUCUCAUUUGGAAUCUAGCGUUAGCAUGUUGCUAGAGUUAACGUGCACUUGUUUACACGACAAAAACUAAAAUCUCUUACUAGCCAGACCCCUCCCUAAAUUAGGUAUUGUGGUUUUUGGAAGCAGGAGAGUCUUUUCCUAAAAUUGGUGUCACAAGCUAGGGUAAUGUUUCAGGACAAAUGGCAACAAGUAAACUCAUUUUCUCAAUAAGCUCCUACAUUUAGAAUGUCAUUGAGCAAUGGGCUGUCCAGCCAUGUCUGAUGAACCUUGACAUUUCCUUUUUUCUGUCCUGGUUCAUCUAUAGACAUGCAUAUCAACACCUGUGUAAUAUAAUCGCCCUGAUGGAGAUACAACUUGCUUUUGGGCAAGUAGGCCGCCUACAUAAAGAAAAUCCAGAAAAACACAAAACUGUUGAAUAUGGUGCCUGAUCUCCCACCGAGCCUGUCUUUGAUUUGUGUCCCCUUUGUACACAUGUUGUUGUACAUACAGUUUGAAUAUGUAUUUGAAUCUUUGUACGUAUGUGUUUGUGUCAAUGAGCAUUAGCAACAUGCUAACAUGCUUUUAUGGCCAUCUGUUGUUUUAGUUUACCUGUUACAUAGAGAGUGACAAGUUGGUUUGUUUGGAUGGGUUUUUGAGUUUGUUCAUUUUCUUUGCUUUUUUGACCAAGGUUUUUGUUUAGUUUUUUAUAUGUGUGUUUAUAAUUACACCUUGCACCCAGAAGAAUGUGAAAAUGAUUUGCACCCCUAAAGGUUCAUCUUAGGUAGGAAUACAUGAUUUGAGCAACACAAUUCAGCAAGGAAAACAGGAUCUACAUUAAAAACAUUCCUUGUCUUCCACCAUAUUGGUCAUUGCUCAGAAAUUCGAAGAGCUUAUCUUUUGUCAAAGAUGAUGUGAAAGUAAUACAAAGUAGAGACAGGAAUGAAUGAACCAAGAAUACCCUGAGGAGAAACGUACAUAUUUUGAGUAAACUUAGCUCGGCACAAAAAUAUAGAAUCCACUUAUACAUGAAAAAUAUUCUACAUAACGCAGUUUUGGUAAACCCAGUGCAGUGAGCUGCAUUGUUGCUAAAAGAGUAGCUAUAGCGUGCUAGCUAGGUAAUGAAUCUCAUCACAAACUAAAAAAAAACAAGUGGAAACUUUAAUCUGGAGGUCUGUGUUGCUUUUAAAAUAUAACUUUUUCUCUCUUUUUGUAUUCUUUAGUUGAAGUGCAGGAAUGAAUGAUUGUUAUAUCAUUUGUAUUGCUUCAGUUCAGUGAUAAUCUCAUAUUAACGCUUUGUAUUGCCUGUUCUUGGUAUCAUAAUGCUUGUCCAUCUUGCUUUUUCUCAUGAAAAUAUUUCUUGGAUUCAGUGCAUUUGAAGGCCAUUUCUGGAAAUGGGUCAGCUAAUUAAACCUUGUGAAACUCAUUGGAAUUUGGCAUUUUAUAUUUUGAAUACUAUAACUUUAUGUAUGUAACAAGAUGAUUUAUUGAGCUUGUCCACUGAUGAAAGGCAAUAACAAUACCAUGUAGUGCAAAGGGAAGGAAAGGACUGACUGAAAGCUUCGCCCCGGCAAAUGACUUUUUACUGUGUUUGAUGGCAGUAGUUGAUAUUACUGCUGCGCAAUGCCAACAACUCCAAUGCAACGUUCAUAAAAUCAAAUACUCACAAAUCAUCGACAUCAAAGAUCAUUUUCUUUGUGUGCAACCAGGAUAUGAAAAAAACAAUACAAAUGUGGAUGUGAAAA